rnacentral:misc_RNA from 1 species
GAUGAAGAACGUAGCGAAAUGCGAUAAGUAGUGUGAAUUGCAGAAUUCAGUGAAUCAUCGAAUCUUUGAACGCACAUUGCGCCCUUUGGCAUUCCGAAGGGCAUGCCUGUUCGAGCGUCAUUAUCACCCCUCAAGCCCCCCUGGCUUGGUGUUGGACGGUUUUGGUGGGACGUGCAGCCUCUCACCCCUCCUAAAGACAAUGACGGCGGCGUCGUUGGAACCCCCGGUACACUGAGCUUCUUAACUGAGCACGUACUGGAUGCGGGUACGCGAUGCACGGUCUGCCUCCCCUUAGGGAGAACUUUUUCUUAAGGUUGACCUCGGAUCAGGUAGGAAUACCCGCUGAACUUAAGCAUAUCAAUAAGCGGAGGA